rnacentral:rRNA from 1 species
UACGUAGGUGGCAAGCGUUGUCCGGAUUUACUGGGCGUAAAGCGUAUGCAGGCGGCUACUUAAGUCGGAAGUGAAAGGUGGGAGCUCAACUCCCACAUUGCUCCCUAUACUGGGUGUCUUGAGUGGCGGAGAGGGAGAUGGAACGACACGUGUAGCGGUGAAAUGCGUUGAUAUGUGUCGGAACACCAAUGGCGAAAGCAAUCUCCUGGACGCAAACUGACGCUGAGAUACGAAAGCCAAGGUAGCAAACAGG